CUGCAGCGGUCAGUUGGUUGGCAAGUCAUUCCGAUUCUCAGUCGGUCAGUUGUAUGUUUAAGCUGGACUCGCAUUUGCGAAUAAUUAAAUGUUAAUUGAGUAACAACAAAGGCUCGUAAUGCAAUUGCUUUCCCAAUUGACAAACGAAAUUAAAAUUAUGGCCAUGACGAGGCGCUGAAAUCAAAACUGCAGUGGCAAUUUAUUUAACGCGGCCAAAUCAAUAAAUCGCCAUAUGAAUAAAUUAAAGCAAAAUGUGGUUGGCAUUAAACAAUUAAGAAUUACAUUUAGGACUCUGAUAGUGCAAUUAACACUAUCCUUUGUAAGACGAUCUGAAAUCGAAUCGCAUUGGAAAACUCCCCCGAGAUGCAUGAUGGACUGCCACUUAUCGCGAAGAGAGCGACUAAGGGGGAAUGUCGAACAUUAAUUGGAAGUUAAAAUCCAAGCCCGCAGGGGCAGGAAACGGCAAUAAUCAAUUACGAUGGCGGUGGCAUUGCUUAUGACCAUGGACCAAAAGGCCAGGAGUAACUGCAGCUCGGAUGAACUUAUCGUUGACAAUGAACUCGCCAACCAAUCGCAGCAUUAGCAGCAACAUCCUUUGUUUAUGACCCUAAGCUUCUCAUCACUGAUACAAAACACUUAAAAAAAUAUACCAGAGCCACACCAGCCCCCUAUAACAACGUAUAGUAACAGAGGCCAUAUCAGCAGCUCCAACACCAACAGCAGCAUUGUCCAUGGAUGGGCACAGAUGGAGAUGGGGCAAAAGAAUAAUCAUAAUCAUAAAAGUUAUACACCCAACAUGCUAUUACAU